CACAGACAACAGUCUGGUUACUAGGCUUCACAGACAACAGUCUGGCGCUGUGAGGUUACUAAGCUUCACAGACAACAGUCUGGUUACUAGACUUCACAGACAACAGUCUGGUUACUAAGCUUCACAGACAACAGUCUGGCGCUGUGAGGUUACUAAGCUUCACAGACAACAGUCUGGUGCUGUGAGGUUACUAGGCUUCACAGACAACAGUCUGGCGCUGUGAGGUUACUAGGCUUCACAGACAACAGUCUGGUUACUAGGCUUCACAGACAACAGUCUGGUUACUAGGCAACAUUAUGACACUCCUUCCUGUCUGAAAGCGUCCCCAUGUUCAGAAUUAUAUUUGCAUUAUUCUCACUCUAGUCUUUAUUUACACAUUUAAUAUUUCCUGGGAGCUGCUUGUGUCUGGAUGGUGUGCUAACCUGUUUGACAUUAUAAUAAUGUAAUAUAAUUUAUAUCGUUUGUAUUAUCCUAACAUAAUAUUGUGGGUCUUUUUAUUCUGUAAUUUCUUCCUGGGGGGUUUUAUAGGAUCCGGGGGGGGGGGGUAUAUUAACACCAGUCUAAACCAGCUUCACCUGGAGCUGCUAUGGGACAAUAAAAUGGAUCACUUUCAGCGC